CUAAUCUGGGAAUUAUAAAAAUAACAUCUCCUUUCCUGGAACACUUUCUGUCAAAGUAAUGACCUUUCAAACCAAAUGACAUAUAAACGAAAUCAGAGAAAGCUUAGUGAUACAUGCAUAUAAUUAAUAUGCUGGAUGUUUGUGACUAUUAAUUUGAGGAGACUUGAGUGUUGUCAUUCAAGUUGAUUGCUGAUUACUGUAUUGGUUAUCUCCAUCUUCCAUAGUUUUCUAUUCUUUUUAUUUCUAUUCUUAUUUUUAUUGUUUCCUUCCUUCUACUUCCUUAGGUAAAUUUACUAUUUUUUGAGCUUCUUAAGGUACAAACUCAGAAGCUUAGACACUGAUUUCAAACUUCUCUCCUAAAGUUUGCAAGUGUUUGCUUCAUCUGUUUUAAAUCUUUCACAUUUUGGGCCUACACUUUUAGGCUUAUUAUGUUUUUUGAUUAGUUUAUUAUUUUGUCAUUGAGAAAUACCACCUUUAUCUUUGGUAAUAUUUCUUAUAUUAAUGUCAACUUUGUUUGAUAUUAAUAUAGGAACUUUGGCUUUCUUAUUCCUAGAGUUUACAUGGUAUAUACUUUCUUAUCCCUUUACUUUUAAAUUAUCUGUGUAUAAUUAAAGUGUGUUUCUUACAGAAAGUAUACAGUUGAGAAUUGCCUUGUUUUAUCCUUUCUGGGGGUCACUGCCUUACAAUUGUCAUUUUUUGGUGUAUUUACAUUUAAUAUAAUUAUUGAUAUAGGUGGCAUUAAGUCUAUGUACCUUUACAGUCAGUUUUCUAUUUAUCUCAUAGGUUCUUUAUUUUGUUUUCUUUUUGUUUCCUUCAAUCAUUUGGAUUGAAAAUUUGGGGUAUUAAAUUAUAUCUUUCUUCAGCUUUCACUUAAUUAUCUCUAAAUAGGUAUUCUAUUAGCAAAUAUGUAUCUUUAAUUUAUCACAGUCUCUAAUCUCAUUAUUUUUGCUAUUACGGUCAUGAAUUUUACUCCUCCCUAUAUUACAAACCCCAUACACAUUGCUCUGAUUUUGCUUUAAAGGAAAAUACAUUUAAAAUUUUUAAGGAAAUUAUUUUAAAUGAAAAUAUAAUAAAUUCUUUUAUAUUUACCAACAUGUUUACCACUGUAUGUUUAGCUCUACUUCUUUGUCAUACCUGAGUUCUCUAUGGAAUUUCCUGAGUUCCUAACAUGAUCUCUUCAUUCUGAUUGACCAGACUCACUGGUCUCUUAGCCUUGUUCCAGCCCUGGUAAGUAUUCAGUUUCAAGAUCUCUCAUGGUGGUUCUUCCCUAUUUUUCAUUCUUUUCAAGGUCCUGUGGAAUCUUACUCUUGACUUGCACAGUUCAGUACUCAAAGACUCAAGGAGUUCCCUGUGUAGAUUUCUGGAGUUCCUUUUCUGUAUAGUUUCAACAAAAACUGAAAACCAAACUCCAAUCUGCUGAAAAGAAAAAAUACCUUAGAUUUAUUUAAAUCUAAUUGAUACCCACAGAAUAUAUACCUUACUUUCUUUGUCCUUUUUUCUAAAUUUUUUUAUAACACCACAAAUAGAUACAGGGGUAUGAAUUAGGUUAUGGCAGUAAUACAGGUGAUAAACUGUAGCAGCUUAUAGUAUGGUGACAGUGGAGGAGAUGAAAAGUGGUUGGCUUUGGAGUAUUAUUUUAAAGGUAUUUCAGAAUUAGAUUAGGUUGGAUUAUAAUAGGAGAGAAGAUACAGAUAACUCCAAGUUGGUAGAAUUCUGUUGUCAUGUACUGAAGGGUAGCAUCAUGGAAGGAGCAAAUUUGGAACAUAGAAACCAUGAGUUUGACACUGGAAAACUUAAGGGUACUACUUCAAACACCUAAAUAUAAAUAUAACAAAUCAGGUACGUCAAUGUAAACUUCAGGAAAAAGAUCAGCGCUGGAAAUACAAAUUGAGAUCUGUCAAUGUACACAUAGUAUUUAAGGACAUGAAAUAGGAUGAGGUCACCUGACAAAGCUUAUAUAAAUAGACCAAAAAGUGGUCUAACGGCUGACCACAUAAAUAUUUAGGGAGUAGAGAGGUAAGAGCAAAGGAGACUAAGAAGGAGUAUCCAGUUAUAUAAGAAGAAAAAUGAAAGAAUAAUGUCCUGCAAGACAUCUGAGGAAAGUGUUUUAAAAAGAAAAAUGGAUCAAAUGGGCUGAAUACCAUUGCUUGACUGCUGUGAGGUGAUAUGGCCACUGGAUUUGGCAAUUCAGACUUACAGAUGGCAAUGAAAAGAUCUGUUUCAGUGGAGUUGGUUGAGGAAAGUCCACCUGAAACAGAUUCAGGAGGAAACGUAAACAAAAGAUGCAGAGGCAGGUAAUGAGGAGUUCUGCUAUAAAGUUCUGAGGAGUUCUGCUAUAAAGAGCAGCAUGGAACUAGAGUGGGAGCUGGAAAACAGAGAUAUAGCAGAAACAGUGUCCUGGAAAAAUAAGGGGCAAGGAAUGGGAUCCAAAGAAAAGGUGGGGGCAAUGAUUUAAGCAGCACUUUAAUAAUUUAAUAGGAAAGAAGGAGGUGAAAUACAAAUACAUUAAAUGGGUAAAUGUGAUGGUAAAGGUGUUUUUUCUUAUACUCAGCACUACUUUUGCAAUGUUAGGGGGGAAAAGGAAAUAAUUUUAAAGUUUUCAGGAGUACCACAUGAAGAAGGGAGAUUCUAACUAAACACAUGACCCUCAAAGAUCCAAAGAAUGAAAUAUCACCACCUGCUAGAUUUUGCAAUCACAUCCCUACAACUUAAAACACACUGUUGGCUUCUGGUAGGAAUCCUUAAACUGUUUUACGUUCUGAAGUGACUUUAACUUUGAAAUAUUUAAAAACUGAAAUGGAAAUAUCGUUUUAGAUAUUCUUCUGAGUGACCUUUAAUAUAUCAUGGAAAAGGCAAUUAAUGCAAUGUGUGUGGGUCCUUUAAAAACAAUUAGUAAUCAUAAUAGAGUCAUCAUGUAGUGGAACACUUUGCCUGAUUUCAAGAAAUUUAUAAAGUUUGGUAACAGUGGGAAGACUUCUUCUCCCCACAUACAUUGGCAGAGAAUAAAAAAGGAGGCUAAGAAAUUCCCCAACCACUUCCCGGUAUAAUUUCUGAAGGUGAAUUCAAGAAUUAAGGAAAAGGAAAGAGAACACAGAUUCCCUGUCAGUAAUGAAACUGAGAUAAGUGAUGUCGAAGGAGACCUGGAUGAAACAAGUCUGUCUCCUGUUUCCUCUCUGCUAGGGUGAAUGGGUUAACAUGAAGACGUAGGUCAAGACAGAAGAUGAUAAACAAUCAUAAUUAGAUAUGCAUUUGAUAUAUUUUCUUUACUUUGAUUCUGUUUAAAUGGAAUAAAUAAUGAUUCAUAAUAUAUUCACAGAGUGGAUUUUUGCUGCUAGCUGUUAAUUCCCGGAGGAACCAACUAGUGAUGAUAGCACAGCCCACAAAGUUGCCAGUUCUCUAUUUGCUGCUUUCUUCAGGAUUUUGCUCUUAAUUAAUUAAUUCAAAAUAAAAGUGCACAUCCCAAGGAUUUGUUUUCAUCAUAUAUAUCCAUAAGACAUUCAUUUCAUAAUUUGUAUUUGGGAAAGAAUUGCCUUGUGUGUGUGGCGAAUUACACAAAGGUAAGUGCAAUUAAACACAGAGCGCGCAUUCUUAUGACAGCAUAUGUUCAGGGACCGGGGACCAACAAGCUCCCAGAAGUGAACAAAGCCUCCAGGAUAACACGGAAUGGGCAGGUCCCACACAACAGCAAAUGGAGCAGGGACUUAGCAUUUUGCCUAAGAACCAGUUGUAAAGAAUAAUUAGUCUAUAAAGAGCCACUUGCCAUACAUCAGACAUACUUAAAACAAAGCUAAAAAAUAGCUUUCCCAUGUCUCACCUCAAUAACAGGAAAAUAAUGAUCUACAUAUGCAAAGAGAAUAAGAUUUGAACUAUCCAGAAAGCUCAAGCUAGUAAUACAUUUGUAGAAACAGUUUUAGCUGGAUGAUUGCUCCAGUUCUUUAACAUGACUGGAAACCAGAUUUUUAAAAAAAUUUCAUUGCAAACCAGUAUGAAAUUAAUGAUAAGGGCAACAUCAGCAAUGACCCAGUUCCUCACUACAAGGCCACCAUGCAGUCUCCAGUUGCUACCCCAUGAUCUUUUCACCUAGUUUUCUACUCUGUAAGUCACUUUGAAAUAGAUUUUUUUCCCUAUCUUGCAAAUAUUCUGUGUUCUUCUAGAAAGAUUGCCUAAAGCAAAUAGCAAUCAUAGAAAAAAGCAAGUCCAUUCAUGAUAAAUUUUGUCUGCACUUAUCAGUUUUAAUUUUUGCCUCUAAAGUUGGAAAACAAUAAUUUCAUUUUUUUAAUAAUCACCACCUCCAUGGGGUUUGAUUCCAAUGUGUAUCUACAACUGGACUUUUUUCCCCCUGAAUUCUUUUAUCUCAUGCUAUAAUUAGUGAUAUCCACAAUAAUAUUUAUCUUGUCCAAAGGGUGACCUAAAUCUUUCACUUAAUCUAUUAUAGUAUAUAUUCAUGUGUACAUGUUAUGUAUGAGUCUAUGCUUUAUUGAAAAAUUAGGAUAUUGAUAGAAUAUUUCUGGCACUAAAAAUCACAAUUUCUUCUAAAAAGUGUAAAAUUUCCCAAUAGAACCUCUGACAUUUCAAGGAUAUUUAUAUUAACUGACAUAGAACCUUCCUAUUUAAAAUUGAUUUUGUAUUUUCCUUCCAUUGACCCAGAAGCACUAUUUCCCUGUAAUUCUCCUAAAUACGUACCCUGCAAGGUUUAUUGUGACCAGAGUCCAUGCUCUUUAUUUUUCUCAGAUCAAAUAAAAGACUGUAUCUAUCAAAAGCUAGGAAAACCAAAGAGAGAAGAGAGAUAACACAAAGGAAAUCUCGAAAUGUUCAGUGAAUUCUAUAAAAACAUGGCUUAGAGCCAAAACCAAACAAUUUGGUUUUUAUCUGAUGAUUAUGUUGGAGGGGAAAUUUCUGGAACUAAACUAAUGGGUUGACUCAGUACAGAAAUUAAUAAAAGUAAAUAGAUAUCCCAAAUUUGUCUGAGAUACAAAUUUAUUUUCACUGUACAUUUUUCAGCUUCAAGUAAGCUCCACAAUAGGUGCCAGGCCAAUCAAAACACACUCUCUUGAACAGCUAGUUCUUAAAAUAGAAACUCACUUACUAGAAAAGUGUAUCCUGCAUCAUGUUCCCUACCUCUUCAGUAAAAAGAAUCAGAUAUUUCCUAUUGAUGGGGUUCCAAAGGCUUAUGGGUUCCAUUAAUGCAGAUAAUAAAAACGGACAAUAGAAAAGAAAAAAAUCUCUUCUAAACUUAGUCAAGAUGCCCGAUCAUCACUGAGGGCUUGACAUUAUUUUCUAAGGAAGGCCCCAAAUCAGAGAAUAUUAGGUUUAGUAGUAUUAAAGAAAAAAAUUAUUCUUACACAUGUUAAAAUGAUAAAGAAGACUUUAUUCAGGACUAUUGCAACUGCAGCCAAGACUAUUGUAAUAGAAGAGAGUGAUCUGCUCAGUUCUAAAUACAACAAAGAUAGAGGAUUCAUGACCAAGGAAAAGAGUGAGGGAGUCAGUAGAUAGAAAUUAUUAAGUGGGAACAUCAGUGGUAAGGGGAGUCUGCUAGGUGAAAACAGGGUUCUUGCUGAAGGUAGGUCAAGGAUUUACACAUCAAAGAUGGGCAUGAGGAACUUGAUCAGAUACCAGGGUUCAUCUCCUAUCAGCAGUGGGGGGAUUCUUGCUAACUGAUUUAGCAGAAUUCUUGCAAAGAGUAGGCAAUGCAGGUGUGGCAAGGAUGGGACAGACCCAGAGGCCAAAGCUGAGAAGAGAGCUCAGAGGAGUCUAACUAAAGUCUUGUCAGGAGAGUCUUUGUCAGCACUAUGAUGUAGAAACUCCAAACUGACAGUGGCCUAAACAAAUACAGCUUGAUUUCUCUUUAAUUGCAGCUUAAGGCUAAAAUAAUGCCCCAUGACUUUAGGAAAACAAGCUAGUCCUAGCUUUUUGCUAGAAAAACACAUCCUUAAGACAAGGCUUACAACUCAAGGUUCAAAACGGCCAACUAAAAAUACAAGUUAUCUGCUCCUCUGACAAAGAACAUGCAAGAGGCUGCAAGGGUCAUCUCUGCUCCAUGUAUUGCUAGCUUAGAUAGUUCUGCUCUUGCUGGUCCAUUCAAUAUGGUCUCACCUACUCACCUUGGGGGGCUCCGUACUAGCUUUUGAUUGAAGCAGCCUUGUCAUUCUUCAGGGGCCUUCCUUGUGAGCUCUCAUUCCCUAGGGCUUAUCUCUCUCCACACAGGCUCCACACAGGAUACCUUGGGGUUCUUCACACAAAGGCUGGUUUCCAAAAAAUAAAUAUGGAAACUGUAAUGUCUCUUAACGUGAGUGCCAAAAGUCAUACUAUGUCAUGUCUACUAUAUUCUUUUUGUCAAGGGAAGUCAUGGCCAGCCUGGACUCAAGAGGACAGGAAUGGACUCCCUUGCUAGAUGGGAAGAAUAUUACAUGGCAAUAAAAGGAAUUGUUUGCAGCCAUCUUUGCAGAUAAUCCAUCAUAGUUAAUCAUAAGACCUCCAAAGUUUGUGCACUCAAAUCCAAAUAGUAAAUUUGGAUUUUUUUUUUGACAUAAGUUUUUGACAUUAUUAAAAAAAAAUUUAUUAUGCCAAGCCCUAGGAUUAGUUCAUAAAGUUCUCCUGCUGUUAAUUCAUGCUGUUUCUAUUUGCAUGAAUGCUUUGUAUGUGUUUUUGACUCCUGGCCACAGAUUUACCAUCAGAAAGUAAGACACAAUCUUUUUCCUAAGUAAUAGAAAAUCAUGAAAAUUUUACACAAAGAAGUGCCCAAUUUUAACUCUUCUAGAGAAUGUUGCUUAAUACCUGUAUUUCAUAUUUUAUAAAGACUGAGAGAGGGAGUUGUGUUUCAUGUCAAGAGGAAAGAAGCCACCGUCAAUCUUGGUCAUCAAACAUCAGUAUUUGAAAGUUAUCUCUGUCUUACUUGCUGCCUAAACCCCAGUUCACUAUUUGUCCAGCCCUGUCAAGUUUACCUCGAAUACAUCUCUGAUAUUGAUACCUUCUUUUUCAGUGUCCCUGCAAAAAUGAGUGCAAAUAACAUGACCUCUUACCUGUUACUGACAUGGUCUCCUAACCAGUUUUCCUAUCAUCCAGCUUCCUCUUCUCCAGACCAUUCUUCUCACAAACACAAGAUUACUCUGCUUAAAUAUCUCACUGAUCACAUCAAUUACUUGACUCAAAGCCUUUAAUGGUCCCCUGUAGGGGAAAUAGCUUACAUUCACCAUAUUUUAAGCCCAGAGAAUUACAAAUACUAAGAUUCACAUCAUUCAACUCAGACAAUUUAUGUCAGGAAACCACAAAUGAUAAAAUAUUUAUUAAUACUUAAGGGUGUGAGCUAGAUGGAUAGGGAGGUGUUAAUUAACAUACUAUGACAUCACUGAACUAAAGCUAAUUAACUCAACCUACAUCAAAGCACUUUGGAUAUGCUUCUGAUGUUGGGAAUAUAGGUAAAGGUAAAAUCAUUUAAAAAAGUGUUUAAAAAAUAAGAUGAAUUGAUUCAAGGAGAUUAAUAUCAAAUCAAAAAGCAGGACCUUGAUUUGUCAACAUAGCUCUUACUGCUGCUACCUCUCAAAUCCAAACCAUCUCCUACAUGUCUCCUCUCAUUCUUUUCAGCCAGUACUAUGGUUCCUUUGAAACUUCUUCUCCUAGAUGUAAAUUAUAAAGGAAACAUAGAAUCUCAAAGUAUUCCCCUACAUAGACAAGAAAGUAGGAUGGGUCCUCAUAUGUUCAUUUGCAUGGGUUUUGCCAUCAUGUUUUUCUUUCGUCUUACUCUUCAUUGAAUUUUCUACUGCCAUUAGACUGGUUAUUUGAAAUGUCGUCAAGCAGAAUUAAAAGAAAGUCGGAGAGAAUGGCAGGAUAGAAGAACAAGAGACUCCCUGCACCCACCCCUGUAGGCUAAUGCUUAGGGAAGGACGUGACUCCAGGAAGUUGGAUAAACUAGAAACGUAACAGGUGUGGAUCUGGUAAUCUAGUACAGCCGAACACACUUCCAAAAGCCUCCUUUGCACUGUUCUGCUAGAGCUGGCAACAAACAUGCCUUUUCCUUUUCUGGAAUUAUAAAUUUUAAAGCUUGAGCUGCAGACAGCCCUCUCUCCUGAGGGUGUAGAUUUAAUCCUUUAAAGAAGAAGAUGAAGCCAAGCAGAAAAACUAAGGUAAGAGAUGGAGAGAAAACCCAAAAAACAUUGUAUUAGCUCUUUCAAUCAGCCAUACCAUAUGUGGGCUAGUUCACCUCACUGACUUUUCAUUGUAAUGAAUAAAACUUCCUUUCACUUUGUUUUUUAAUUGAAGUUCGUUUGGCUAUCUCUUAUAGUUGAAAUAAUUCUGAUGAAUAGUAGAAUAAAAAAGAUACCUUGGCUUAUUGUGGUAAGUUUGUGUGUAUUGUAACUCCAGGGGGAAAAUAUUGCCAUUUUACCCACAAUACAUUGAGUAAAUCAAGAAGAUAUAAUGAGCUGUUUUAGAUUUGUAUUUCAUUGUUGGACUAUGUUUCAUUAACAGUGGCACUGCUACGAGAGUGGGUCUUGUGGAUUAAGGUCUUAAUAGUUUCAAAGAUGUGGUCUAGUUGUUAAAGCAUAAAACUUUUACUUGUUACAUGCUAUUAUGAAAUUUAUUAAACUCUAAGCAUUAUUAUUUUUGUGUGUAAAAUGGUGUUAAUAACAGUUUUUACUCCAUUAUAUUUUGUAAAAAUUAAAUGUGAUAAUGAAUGAAAAUGCCCCUGGAAAUAAAAUAAUGAACAUUAA